GUGGGGAAUAUUGGACAAUGGGCGCAAGCCUGAUCCAGCCAUGCCGCGUGAGUGAUGAAGGCCUUAGGGUUGUAAAGCUCUUUCGUCAGGGAAGAUAAUGACGGUACCUGAAGAAGAAGCCCCGGCUAACUUCGUGCCAGCAGCCGCGGUAAUACGAAGGGGGCUAGCGUUGCUCGGAAUCACUGGGCGUAAAGCGCACGUAGGCGGCUUUCUAAGUCAGGGGUGAAAUCCUGGAGCUCAACUCCAGAACUGCCUUUGAUACUGGAGAGCUUGAGUUCGGGAGAGGUGAGUGGAACUGCGAGUGUAGAGGUGAAAUUCGUAGAUAUUAGGAAGAACACCAGUGGCGAAGGCGGCUCACUGGUCCGGUACUGACGCUGAGGUGCGAAAGCGUGGGGAGCAAACAGGAUUAGAUACCCUAGUAGUCC
rnacentral:rRNA from 1 species